GAAUUCCUAUGGAGUUAAGAAGGAGAAUUGACGGAGACAACCCAGAAGAAAGCACUUCUCCUCUCUGACAAGAAUAAGAAGCCUAGAAUGGAUAAUGAUAUUAACUUCUACAAAUUGCUUUAUAUCUUUAAAUUUCUUUUUUUUGGAAUGCAUACACCUUUCCUGGCUGUUCUUGAAUGAAGAUGUCAGCAUCUGUUAAUCGUUGGCCUAGAAAGUUGUGAUUGGAUUUAACCCAGUAGGGAAGGUCUGUUAUCUACCAAAAUAAUUUAAUUAAACAUGGAAAAUACUUUUCGGUUUUAGUUUUUGAGAAGAGCCCAGACUCAGUAAAUAAAGGGGGAGAUGCCUGGACUUCAAGGAGACAACUGGAAUUUGGGGAAGAGAUGGCCAAACUUCAGGGAAGAGGCAGUGGACUAUGGAAGAGAUGACCUGACUUCGGGGGAAGAUGACCUGCCCAUCCUGUCCCCUCUCCAGCUCUCCUCUCUGCUAAGAGCCAUUUUCAUUGUUUAAUAAAACCUAUUUGUUUGCCUAUUGCCUCUGGAUGCUUUUUUGUUAUGAUAGCUGUGUUGAACAGUUGCAACAGAGACCAUAAGGCUCACCACAACCUAAUAUAUUUAUCGUUUUUAGAGAAAGUUUGUUGAUCCCUGUUACAGGUUGUGCUAGGAGUUUUGUCUUUGUGAAAAAGUAAUAGAAUGCCAUCAUUUGUGUGGAAAUGAUGCCUCUUGUUAUAAUGUGGUGAACUCAUUGAACAAUUAGUAGAUUGAUUAUGAAGCAAUGAGGCAGUAGUUCAGAUGAGAGAUGAAGAUGUAUUAGGUGGUAUCUCACUGUGGUUUUGAUUUGCAUUGCACUAAUGAUUAGUGAUGUUGAGCAUUUUCAUAUGUUUAUUGGCCACUUGUGUAUCUUCUUUGAAUAAAUGUCUUCAGUUCCUCUGCUCAUUUUUUAAUUGGGUUUUUUUUUAUGUUGAGGUGUACGAGUACUUUGUGUAUUUUUGAUAUUUACCACUUGUCAGAUAUAUGAUUUGCAAAUAUUUUCUCUCAUUCUGUAGGUUACUUUUUCACUCUGUUGACAGUGCCCUUUGACACGCAGAAGUUAAGAAUAACAUAGUACAAUUUAUCAAUUUUUUCUUUUGUACCCUGAAAUUUUCAUGUCAUACACAAGAAAUCAUUAACAAAUCCAAUCUCAUAAAGUUUUCCACUAUGCUUCCUUUUAAGAAUUUUAUGUUUUUAACUCUCCCAUUUAGGUCCUUUGAUCCAUUUUGAAUUUUGACAUAUGAUAUAAUGUAAGGAUCCAAGUUCAUUCUUUUGCAUGUGAAUAUUCCAACACCAUUUGCUGAAAAGACUGUCCUUUCCUCAUUGAAUUGUCCUGGCAUGCUGGUCUAAAAUCAUUUGACUAUAUAUUCAACAGUUUAUUUCUGGACUCUCUAUUUGAUUCCAUUGGCUUAUAUAUCUGUCUUAUGCUAAAUAGUACCAUACUGUUUUGAUUACUAUAGCUUUGUAAUAAGUUGUGAAAGCAAGAAGUGUGAGAUCUUCAACCUUUUUCUUUUCAAUAUUGCUUUGUCUAUUUAGGUCCCUUCAAUCUCAAAUGAAUUUCAGGAUGGAUUUUCCUAUGUAUGCAAAUAAUACCAUUGGGAUUUUGAUAGAGAUUACACUAAACCUAUGGAUGACUUUUGGUAGUAUUGACAUCUUAAAUAUCAAAUAUUCCAAUCCAUGAACAUGAGCUGUCUUUCCAUUUAUUUGUGUCCUCUUUAACUUCUUUUCAGCAACAUUUUGUGGCUUUCGGCAUACAAGUCAAGUCUUUCACCUCGUUGUUAGGUUUUGUCCUAAGUAUUUCUUUUUUUUUUUUUUUUGAUGCUAUUGUAAACGGAAUUUUUAAAAUUUCCUUUUCAGGUUGUUCUUUGUUAGUGUAUAGAAACACAACUAAUUUUUGCAUGUUGAUUUUGUAUCCUGCCACUGAGCUGAUUUCAUUCAUUAGUUCUAACAGUUUCUUUUUGGUGGAAUCUUUAGGGUUUUCUACAGCAAAAUCAUAUCAGUGAACAGAGAUAACUUUACUUUUUCCUUUCCAGUUGGUUGCCUUUGAUUUCUUUUUCUUGCUUAAUUGCUCUGGCUAGGCCUUCCAGCACUAUGUUAAACAGAAGUGGCAAAGUGGGCAUUCUUGUCUUCUUUCUGAUCUUGGAGGAAAAAUCUUCAGUCUUCCACCAGUAAGUAUAACACUGGCUAUAGGCUUUUUAUAUAUGAAUUUUAUUAUGUUGAGGUAGUUUGCUUUUAUUCCUAGUUUAUUGCAUAGUUUUUUAUUUUUAAUAAAAUCUUGUUGAAUCUUGUCAAGUACAUUUUCUAUAGGAAUUGAGAUGAUCAGUAAAUUUUUGUCUGUCAUUCCAUUCAUGUGGUGGAUUGCAUUGUUUGAUUUUUAUAUAUUGAAAUAUUGUUCCAUUCCAGGGAUAAAUUCUAAUUGGUCAUGGUAUAUCUCUUAGUCCAUUUGUGUUGCUAUAAAGGGAUAUUUAAGGCUAGGUAAUUUAUAAACAAAAUUUGGCUCAGGGUUUGGUAGGCUGUGUAAGAAGCAUAGUGCCAGCAUCUGUUUCUGAUGAGGGGUUCAGGCUGCUUUCACUCAUAGAAAAAGGUGAAGGGAAGCCAGCAUGUGCAGAGCUCACAUGGCCAGAAAGGAGGCAAGAGAGAGAGAGAGGAGAAAGAGUUAUCAGGCUCUUCUUAGCAACCAGCUCUUGUGGGAACUAGCAGAGCAAGAAUUCACUCAUUACCACAAAGACGGCAUUAAGCCAUUCAUGAAGAAUCCAGCCCCAUGACCCAAAGACCUCCCAACUAGGAUUCACCUCCAACAUUGGGGCUUAAAUUUCAACCUGAGAUUUGGAGGGGACAAACAAACCAAAUCAUUGCAGUGCACGAUCCUUUACCUACACAAUUGAAUUCAGUUUGCUAACAUUAUGUUGAGGAUUUCUGCACCAAUGUUCAUCAGGGAUAUUAAUCUGUAGUUUUCUUAUAGUGUCUUUGUGUGGCUUUGUUAUUUGGAUAAUGCUAGCCUCAUAUAAUGACUUUGAAGUGUUCCCUCCUCUUCAAUUUCUGGAAACAUUUGAAGAGAACUGGUGUUAAUUAUUCUUUAAAUGUAUGGUAGAAUGCACCAGUGAAGACAUCUAGUGCUAGGCUUUUCUUUGUGGGGAGAAUUCUGAUUAUUGAUUCAAUCUCUUUACUAGUCAUAGGUCUGUUCAAAUUUUCUUUUUCUUCAUGAUACAGGCUUAAUUGCUUGUACGUUUCUAGGAAUUUAUUUAUUUAAUUUAGAUUAUCUAAUAUUUUGGCAUACAAAUAAUUCAUAUCCUUUUGUAAUUCUUUUAACCUCCAAUUUGUAAUCUUUGUUCAAUUUAUGAGUCCUUAAUUGUCCAGUUUCAUGUUGUGUAUCAUGGCUGGGCCAAUGACUCUUUCCCUGCAUGGCCCCAUGGGUUUCACCCCAGCCAGGGAGUCACACCCACACUCCUAAGAGCCAGACCACCAUUAGAGCUACUAUGGCCACUGUCAUGAAGGUGUUUUAGAAUAAGGUGUUGUGGUAGUGAUGGAGAAAUGUGGCUGGCUUGAGGUUUGUUUAAGAGGAAAAAUAAAACAUUUAGUGAUUAAUUGGAUAUGUGAAAUGAAGGAGAAAAGAGGUCAGAGAAGACUUGUGAUUUCUGGCUCAUGCAACCAGAGAGAAAGCAAUAUCAUCCACUGAGUUAGGGGAUGGUUGAAGGAGGACCAGUGUAUUGCUUAUUGAUUUUCACUCUGGGGAGGAGAUUAUGAGUUAAAUUUGGAUGUACCAAUUUUGAAGUUACUUUUAAAUAUCCAAGAGAAGAUAUAUAUUAGAAAGUUGGAUAUACAAUUCUGGCAUUUAAAGAAUUCUAAUUACAUAUACAUCUUCUCCUGCGGGUUAUUAAAAAAUUUAGAACCAACCCUAAGAGAUAAAUAAAGAUGAAAGUCCAGGAUCAGAAUUAUUCUGAAAACAUUAGAUAUGAAGACUUCUUCUCUUUGGGAUUCGAUCUCCCCCAACAUAAAGCAGAGAAACUAGAGAAAGGCAGGAGUGCUCUACAGGCAGGUAUCAGAUGGACACAGAAGAGCUGGAGGAGGAAAACAUAUUCCACUGAUGAUGGACCACUCCAAGAGAAAAAGAAAUAGACAAGAUUCAGGGCUAUUCAUGAACAAGAACUUCAACACCAAUUAUCUCCCCCAAUAUAGGAAGCUAUCACCAGUGAAUGCCAGAUUCUCACUGAAUUUACCAAACAGGCAAGCUAUUUCUCUAUCCAAGGGAGAAACGGCAAGGCAGAGGGAGGAGCCAGAAGUGUUUGUUCUGAUACUGUUCUGUGUUAGGGAAUGGAGACUGAAAUACCAUUUCCUUUACGGCAAUGUGAGGCAUUGUGGUAGGGGAAAUUGAGUGGCUAAAGGUUUCCCUUUAAUAAAAUAAACCGAAAUCAUAUAAAGAACAAAGAAUAGGUAUUUGAGUUCAAAAUUAUUUUGUUACAUUCUAAUUUUAGAAAGGAGAAACUAUGGAGUUCAGUUUAUAUAAAAGAAAAUAAUUAAUAUAAUUACAUUUUUAAUAAGCAAAGAUGAUGGUAUAUUAAUGGACAUAAAAAUAUUAUAAGAAAUCUAUACAUGGCUGCCUAGAAGUAGCAUUCCAGGGCUUGGCCAUUGUCAUGAGCCAAGUGUUCGUGGAAAGAGAAAACCUCCACAGCCUGAACUUAACCAACAAUAAUAAAGCCUAAAUACCUUUAUCUCUUGAGAAUAUUCACUGUGGUGAAUAGCAGGUAUAAUGUAAUUGAUCUACUAGGAAAUAUCUUAUAAGACUUUUUUAAGUACGGCUGCAAAACAGUUCCACUCUUACUUAGCUAUUAUUCCAUUACAGAGCUACUAUAGAGCUGAAUUUUGAGCUCUUACUACUGUGCUGGUUAAUCACUGAUUGACUAUAUUUUCAGUGGGAAAAUAAUAGAUAUCUUGUUAUAAAGUUAAACAGCCUUUUAUAUAAGUAAUAUCUUUUGUUAGUAAUGCUAAUGGGGAAUUUUCUUUUAUAAUUUUGAUUUUUGCCUUCUAGUUGUUCAUAAACUCAAAAUGUAUGCAUAUUUGUUGUUAAAACUCAAACAUUAUGAAGGUAGACACAGCAUCAGAAUACUGUGUGGUAUUCAGAACUUAGUACCAGCCACUUCUCUCCAUCUCCAUCAAUACCUUAUUCUAAAACAUCUUCAUGACAGUGGCCGUAUAGUAGCUCAGACAGUGGUCUAGCUUCUGGGAGUGUUGAUGUGACCCACUGACUGGAGUGAAUCCCAUGGGGCCAAUUUUUGCACCUUCUAGAAGGCAUUUCACCUUCUCCCUCUCUCUCUCCAGAGUAUCAUAAUUCACAGUUCCCACCGUAUAGCUUUACAGAACUUUAUUCAUGCAUUUACACAUUUAUAUAGCUUUUUUAACAUAAGGAAAAUCAUACUAUGUGGUACUAAUAUUUUCAAUAUUUCUCUUGCUACUAUUUUUAUUUAACUUGUUUUUUUUCACCCCACCUAAGCCUCCAAAUUGGCACAUACAGAACUGCUUGGUUAACUGUAACAAUUGCAAGGUAAUAUUUAGCACUGUGUGAGCACAAGAUGUUUUGUAGUAUUCAGAACCCAAAACAACAUUUUUAUAAAAAUCCUUAGCAUAAUAUUGGCAGACCUUUGGAAAUAACUAUUUUAGCUGUAUGUUGAAACUACAGGCCGGUUUCUAUAAUUAAUAUCACAAGAGAGACAGUGGAACUUAAUAGAAAGACCAUUGGAACAGAAUGAGCCCUUGAACUAACUUAGUCAUUUGACCUUCUGGGACUUACUGUCCUUAUUUGUAAACUAGAAGACGUUGGUCCAGAUUUUUUCUAAUAGUCCUGCUAGCUCUAGAAUGGUAUAUAUAUAUACAGUAUUGGAAUUCCUAGUUUUCAUUAAGAACAUUUCCUAUUUGGCAAGUGUUAAAUACCUACCUUCACUCAACACUAUGGGCAAGCUGAGUAACAAAAAUAUAUGUUAUCUGUUGUGCAUGUCAGAUAUUCAUUGGUAAAUUACUUGUUCUGAUAUCUUCUUCAAUGAUUGCCUCCAACAAUAAAUAUUUCCCAAAAAGUACUGGCGCCAUUUUAGAUAUUGAGCUCAAUUUAAAA
rnacentral:lncRNA from 1 species